rnacentral:rRNA from 1 species
UGGGGAAUCUUCCACAAUGGGCGCAAGCCUGAUGGAGCAACACCGCGUGAGUGAAGAAGGGUUUCGGCUCGUAAAGCUCUGUUGUUGGAGAAGAACGUGCGUGAGAGUAACUGUUCACGCAGUGACGGUAUCCAACCAGAAAGUCACGGCUAACUACGUGCC